GAGGCAAGGUCCCUGCUUCAGUGGGAGUGU
rnacentral:piRNA from 1 species